rnacentral:ncRNA from 2 species
GUCCGUUCCUGGGGGAGUCCUACCCGAUGGCGCAUCGGCACCUGCCGUGCCUUGCCAUCCAAGGACUGAGAGUCGGCCACUGGCCAAGACCCUUAGAACCUGAUCCGGAUCAUGCCGGCGAAGGGAAGGAAAUCGCAUGCAGA